GUCUCAGUAGUGUAGCCGAUUAGCACAACAGACCGCGCAUCUGUAGGUACGGGUUCGAGUUCCAUCUGAGGUC
rnacentral:tRNA from 1 species